rnacentral:rRNA from 1 species
AGGGGUAUAGGUUUUCGGACCUAGAGACCGGCGCACGGGUGCGUAACGCGUAUGCAAUCUACCUUUUACAGAGGGAUAGCCCAGAGAAAUUUGGAUUAAUACCUCAUAGUAUUAUUGAAUGGCAUCAUUUAAUAAUUAAAGUCACAACGGUAAAAGAUGAGCAUGCGUCCCAUUAGCUUGUUGGUAAGGUAACGGCUUACCAAGGCAACGAUGGGUAGGGGUCCUGAGAGGGAGAUCCCCCACACUGGUACUGAGACACGGACCAGACUCCUACGGGAGGCAGCAGUGAGGAAUAUUGGUCAAUGGGCGCAAGCCUGAACCAGCCAUGCCGCGUGCAGGAUGAAGCAUCUAUGGUGUGUAAACUGCUUUUGUACGAGAAGAAACACUCCUACGUGUAGGAGCUUGACGGUAUCGUAAGAAUAAGGACCGGCUAACUCCGUGCCAGCAGCCGCGGUAAUACGGAGGGUCCAAGCGUUAUCCGGAAUCAUUGGGUUUAAAGGGUCCGUAGGCGGUUUUGUAAGUCAGUGGUGAAAGCCCAUCGCUCAACGGUGGAACGGCCAUUGAUACUGCAAGACUUGAAUUAUUGGGAAGUAACUAGAAUAUGUAGUGUAGCGGUGAAAUGCUUAGAGAUUACAUGGAAUACCAAUUGCGAAGGCAGGUUACUACCAAUAUAUUGACGCUGAUGGA